rnacentral:rRNA from 1 species
GGUUAAGUUAGAAAGGGCGCACGGUGAAUGCCUUGGCACUAGGAGCCGAUGAAGGACGGGACUAACACCGAUAUGCUUCGGGGAGCUGUAAGUGAGCUUUGAUCCGGAGAUUUCCGAAUGGGGAAACCCACUGUUCGUAAUGGAACAGUAUCUUUAUCUGAAUACAUAGGAUAUUGAAGGCAGACCCGGGGAACUGAAACAUCUAAGUACCCGGAGGAAGAGAAAGCAAAUGCGAUUUCCUGAGUAGCGGCGAGCGAAACGGAAUUAGCCCAAACCAAGAGGCUUGCCUCUUGGGGUUGUAGGACACUCUAUACGGAGUUACAAAGGAACGAAGUAAAUGAAGCGACCUGGAAAGGUCCGUCGAAGAAGGUAACAACCCUGUAGUUGAAACUUCGUUCCCUCUUGAGUGGAUCCUGAGUACGGCGGAACACGUGAAAUUCCGUCGGAAGCUGGGAGGACCAUCUCCCAAGGCUAAAUACUACCUAGUGACCGAUAGUGAACCAGUACCGUGAGGGAAAGGUGAAAAGCACCCCGGAAGGGGAGUGAAAGAGAUCCUGAAACCGUGUGCCUACAAGUAGUCAGAGCCCGUUAACGGGUGAUGGCGUGCCUUUUGUAGAAUGAACCGGCGAGUUACGAUCCCAUGCAAGGUUAAGCUGAUAAGGCGGAGCCGUAGCGAAAGCGAGUCUGAAUAGGGCGUUUAGUAUGUGGUUGUAGACCCGAAACCAGGUGAUCUACCCAUGUCCAGGGUGAAGUUCAGGUAACACUGAAUGGAGGCCCGAACCCACGCACGUUGAAAAGUGCGGGGAUGAGGUGUGGGUAGCGGAGAAAUUCCAAUCGAACCUGGAGAUAGCUGGUUCUCUCCGAAAUAGCUUUAGGGCUAGCCUCAUGUUGUGAGAGUCUUGGAGGUAGAGCACUGAUUGGACUAGGGGCCCCCAACGGGUUACCGAAUUCAGUCAAACUCCGAAUGCCAAAGACUUAUCCAUGGGAGUCAGACUGCGAGUGAUAAGAUCCGUAGUCAAAAGGGAAACAGCCCAGACCACCAGCUAAGGUCCCCAAGUAUACGUUAAGUGGAAAAGGAUGUGGAGUUGCUUAGACAACCAGGAUGUUGGCUUAGAAGCAGCCACCAUUUAAAGAGUGCGUAAUAGCUCACUGGUCGAGUGACUCUGCGCCGAAAAUGUACCGGGGCUAAACGUAUCACCGAAGCUGUGGAUUGACAUCUUUGAUGUCAGUGGUAGGAGAGCGUUCUAAGUGCAGCGAAGUCAGACCGUAAGGACUGGUGGAGCGCUUAGAAGUGAGAAUGCCGGUAUGAGUAGCGAAAGACAAGUGAGAAUCUUGUCCACCGAAUGCCUAAGGUUUCCUGAGGAAGGCUCGUCCGCUCAGGGUUAGUCGGGACCUAAGCCGAGGCUGAAAAGCGUAGGCGAUGGCCAACAGGUUGAUAUUCCUGUACCACCUCCCCGCCGUUUGAGUAAUGGGGGGACGCAGUAGGAUAGGGUAAGCGCGCUGCUGGAUAUGCGCGUUCAAGCAGUUAGGCUGAUGAGUAGGCAAAUCCGCUCAUCAUGAAGGCUGAGCUGUGAUGACGAGGGAAUUAUAGUACCGAAGUUCCUGAUUCCACACUGCCAAGAAAAGCCUCUAGCGAGGCGGGAGGUGCCCGUACCGCAAACCGACACAGGUAGGCGAGGAGAGAAUCCUAAGGUGAUCGAGAGAACUCUCGUUAAGGAACUCGGCAAAAUGACCCCGUAACUUCGGGAGAAGGGGUGCUCUGGUAGGGUGUAUAGCCCGAGAGAGCCGCAGUGAAUAGGCCCAGGCGACUGUUUAGCAAAAACACAGGUCUCUGCGAAGCCGCAAGGCGAAGUAUAGGGGCUGACGCCUGCCCGGUGCUGGAAGGUUAAGAGGAGGGGUUAUCCUUUGGGAGAAGCUCUGAAUCGAAGCCCCAGUAAACGGCGGCCGUAACUAUAACGGUCCUAAGGUAGCGAAAUUCCUUGUCGGGUAAGUUCCGACCCGCACGAAAGGCGUAACGAUCUGGGCACUGUCUCAACGAGAGACUCGGUGAAAUUAUAGUACCUGUGAAGAUGCAGGUUACCCGCGACAGGACGGAAAGACCCCGUGGAGCUUUACUGUAGCCUGAUAUUGAAUUUUGGUACAGCUUGUACAGGAUAGGUAGGAGCCUGAGAAGCCGGAGCGCUAGCUUCGGUGGAGGCGUCGGUGGGAUACUACCCUGGCUGUAUUGAAAUUCUAACCCGCGGCCCUGAUCGGGCCGGGAGACAGUGUCAGGUGGGCAGUUUGACUGGGGCGGUCGCCUCCUAAAAUGUAACGGAGGCGCCCAAAGGUUCCCUCAGAAUGGUUGGAAAUCAUUCGUAGAGUGUAAAGGCACAAGGGAGCUUGACUGCGAGACCUACAAGUCGAGCAGGGACGAAAGUCGGGCUUAGUGAUCCGGUGGUUCCGCAUGGAAGGGCCAUCGCUCAACGGAUAAAAGCUACCCCGGGGAUAACAGGCUUAUCUCCCCCAAGAGUCCACAUCGACGGGGAGGUUUGGCACCUCGAUGUCGGCUCAUCGCAUCCUGGGGCUGUAGUCGGUCCCAAGGGUUGGGCUGUUCGCCCAUUAAAGCGGUACGCGAGCUGGGUUCAGAACGUCGUGAGACAGUUCGGUCCCUAUCCGUCGUGGGCGUAGGAAAUUUGAGAGGAGCUGUCCUUAGUACGAGAGGACCGGGAUGGACACACCGCUGGUGUACCAGUUGUCUUGCCAAAGGCAUCGCUGGGUAGCUAUGUGUGGACGGGAUAAGUGCUGAAAGCAUCUAAGCAUGAAGCCCCCCUCAAGAUGAGAUUUCCCAUAGCGCAAGCUAGUAAGAUCCCUGAAAGAUGAUCAGGUUGAUAGGUCAGAGGUGGAAGCGUGGCGACAUGUGUAGCUGACUGAUACUAAUCGAUCGAGGACUUAACCAA